AAAUAACUUGACCAAUAAAUAAAUUCAAAGCAUUUAAUAUUAGAACAACUACGGACAUCAUAAAGCAGAAAGCAAGUCCGACUGUGUUUUGAGACGCGACGUGAGAUCUUCGGCAUUUCACCGUCCAGCUCCCCCAGCAGCAUGCUUCGAGUCUCUCCACCUGUAGGGGAGCCGGGGAUGGAGGCAUCUCUGAGAGGGACUAAAGGAGGAAAGUAGAGGACCAACUGGCUGAAACCUCGGAACUUGUGAAGGGGUCUGCAUAAAGGUAAGGGGGCUUCAUUUGGAUAAAUGUUGGUUUAUAAAGGAGCAUUUAUCCUUCCCCUGUCAGUGUAAUUGAUUCCAGCAUGUUCAGGUUUGCAGCAGCAAACUGCUGCCUGAAGUUGGUGUGCUUGAAGAUAACAGCUUGGAUCCAAUAAAUCUUCCUUUACAAAACCCAGGCAACUUUCAUGAGUGGCAGGUAUGUUACAAACAGGCUUUGCGGUGGGAGGGUCUACACUUGAGAGAUUUUUAUACUGGACCACCUGCUGGCUGCUGUAAUUCUGGGUCUAAUGACUUUACACUGUUAUCUUUAAUUGCUGCAAACUAGGAAGGGAGAAUGCCCCUGCAAAAUGAACUGGGAAUGCAGACUUAGAAGGGGCUGCUUUUUGAAAAGAAAAGUAUUUUCCCCCGUGGUCCAGAUGCAUUAAGACUAUGAGACAGAAAGGGUGGGGCUUGAUGAGAACCUUCUAAAGCGAGGUCACCAGCAAGCAGUCUGACCACCACAUGACAGCGAAGGUAAACAAAACCCUGCAUUUGCUGCCUACAGGCCGUCUCCACUUAGGAAGCCAUCUGGCUGAAAGGAAGCAGAACCCUCCGGUCCAUCUGCCUGCAGGAAGGCGGGUCCGAAAGAAAGCACUCUGGACGGGGAGGCCACGCUUCCCAGUCGCAGCUCUGUCUGCUCCAUUCCCCUGUGUAGUUGGAGAUGAAUGUGGAAUAGCUGCAUACCUUAAGCAAUCUGAAAAACCUUCCAGAACCUUCAUGACGUGAAGGUUGUAGGCUUUGGAGUCAUGGCCAGCAUUUCCUGCUGAUAUAUACGCAUGUGCAGCUGAAAGGACUCGGGUUUUCUCUGCAAUGAGUGUGAACAGACGGUUCCCACGUGGCAGGUACUUCUGCAUCCUCAGGAGGCAUUCUCCUGAGACCAGACAGAGGUCCAUGUUCACAAAGGUGUCGUCCUCCGGGCACACAGCAUCAGAUACUCACAGUCCCAGGCUUAGCGGUCAACGUGGGGGUGCACAAGUCGGAUGGGCGCAGUGAGUGUCACAGGGCAAGGACUCAAGAGGAUGGGCCUUGCCCGUGACAGGAUUCUCACCACAGCAGACCCCUCAGCAUACGGCUUGCCCACCCUCUCUGCACAGCCGACAGCGUGGACUCGCCCCUCGGGGCUGUCGUGCAUCAGGUGCUAGGCGCUCAGUACAGGUCAGCAUUGAUGCUUAUGUUCCCAAUUCCUAGAAAGGCAGGGCCCUGCCUGAGGGUAUAGCCCAUAGGGUGCAAUGUGUCAUGGGGGCAGGGGUUCUAUACAUCAAUCAAACUAAGAUGGUCUCUGACUCGCCCAGCCCCACCACUAACCUCCUGUGAGUAGUGAAGCUGUCCCAGUCGGCUUUUCGCAUCACCGUCUGGUAGGGCACGUUGGCCGUGAUGAGGCUGUGGCUGCUGAAUGAGAUGUGCUGCACGGGGUGUCUGGAAGGCAGCGGGAGAGAGCUCGUAAGGGGGCAUCCACUGGGCCUGCGCACAGCCUGCACUUGCUGCCACAGACCUGGGAGUUCAGAGCUGCAGGGGAUUCUAGACUCCAUAAAGCUAAGCUUCUCUUUCAGAGGGAACACAGGCCCCCAUGGAAGCAGUGUCUCACCUCAGCUCCCAAAGCUCAGGUGAGCAGGCCAUGCUUCGGGCAUGGCUUUGUAAAUAGGUCUGCAUGCCCCAUACGCAUGCUGGCAUCUUGGCAUCUGCCCCAACAACCUGGUACAUUCCAGACAUAGAGGACACACCCUACUGGAGAUGAAUCAACCACGUGCAACAGAGACUGGUCCAUCGCUGCCUCCCUGGGCAAGUCCCUUGGGCUCUCCCAGCCAGGCGCUCCAUCAUCUGUAGAGCACCGGGGGCAUGUUCACUGUUGAUCCAUGAAGGCGCCCCCGAUCCGGCUCACAGGGCUGCGAUGACACACGUCCCCUGGGUGGUGAAAGCACGUUUGGGAAAUCCUGGAACAAAAUGGCUCCAAGUCUGUUGAACAGAGGUUUGCGUUUGUUCUGAAACUUUCGUGCAGUACCUGCUGUGGUCACGGCACUGAGCUAGGAGACACUGAAUUAAAAAGAUGCCUCAUCCAGGUGGAUGCCUGACCCAGGGAGGGCCCUAGCUAGUGAAGAAGGUAAGAUGCAGUCCCAGAAAAUGUGACUAACGCUUCUGUAGCACAAGCGAAGUUACAAGCUACAAAGACUGCAUGACGCAGAAUUAAGUGCUGGGAGGGGAGGAGGGCUGAAAGGGUCUGUUGGGAGGGGUGCACAGGAGGGGACGAGGCCUGUGUGGGCUGGGCCAGGGCUGCUCUCCUUGACGAAAGCAGAGGGUUCUUGGGAGUGAGGGAAGCUAGGGAGCAGUCCCUACCUCCCCGGGGUUGGGACACCCACAGCAGGAAAGUGGUGGUGGAUUUGGCAUGGGGCCUGGAGGAUGAGAAGGACCCGCAGAGGGAGGGCAGGCUUAGUGGAGGCCUGCAGCAUGACAGACUGAUGGCACCCUGUCAGGCAGGCGAGGACCUGGGCUGAAGAGACUGAGGCCUGGCAGCAGGCACUGCAGGUGAGGCCUUGAGUAGGUCAGUGAGUUCUGGGCAGGAGACCGUGUGUCCGUCAGCCUUGUGCUGGUGAAAACAGUGACCGCAUGGGGGAGAAGCCCGGGUCGCACAGGGACAGAGGCAGUGCUGGGACAGGGCCACACCUCUGGGGAAGGCCUUCCUUACCUAGGCUUCAUCUCAGUGGCCUGUCCCGGGGGUGAAGCUUUGCAGAGAGAAAAAUGAGAUCUGCUGGAGUGUGGGGCCGGUGGCUAUCCCUGAGGACCUGCCUGGAUGGCUGAUCCAGCAACGCUUUAAAACACAUACUGAGUUUUCCUCAAAGGCAAAUGCUUCCGGGAAUUUCGGUGCAGGAGUUUUAGUUGCCAUUUGGCACCACCUGGUGGCAAUUCAGUGCAUCAGCAUGGAAGUCAGAAAAAGGGCCCAGGCUACAGGGACAGGGACACAGCGAGGGGGUGGGCCUAGGCAGUACCCAGGGCUCUGUCUGAUAAAAUCUGCCAGCCACAGUGUUCGCCAACAGCGCCCUCCGAGGAAGAAGCCCGUUCUGCAUGUAACCCUGCCGCCUCUUGGAGACGCCUGGCAAACUGCCGGCCUUGCAGAAAGAGCAGGUCGCUGCUCAGAGGUCGGUUCACCUUGAUUCGCAGUAAGUGGGGAACAAAUCUGAGUUCACUGCGAGGGCCUUGCCCUGUUUCUGCUCUUCUAUGUUGUCAUGCUCAUAGGCCACCGGACCAGAAUCAUCUUGUUUUUGUAGAGAUGGGGUUUCAUUCUGUCACCCAGGCUGGAGUACAGUGGCACAGUCCGUGCAGCCUCAAACCCCUGCGCUCCAUGGAGCAAUCCUCCCGUCAGCCUCCUGAGUCACUGGGACUAGAGGUGCACACCACCAUGCCUGGAGAAUUUUGAAAGAGGCAGGGUCUCCCUGGGUUGCCCAGGCCAGUCUCAAACCCCUGGCCUUCAGAGCUCCUCAGUCUCCUGAGUAGCUGGGAUUACAGGUGAGCCACCAUGCCUGGCCGAAUGUCUCUUCACAGCAGUGUUGAGGGGCAGCGAGGGAGAGGGCCAGUUGUCUUUAUCCCCACCUGUCUCAAAGACAGGAUCUCCAGUUCGAGGCCUGCAGGGCGAGGUAGAAGUGGUGGCGGGUGGCCUCAAGUCAGCUCUGAUGAGCCUGCCCUGGGCUGGGCUGCUGCUUUGAAGGUCAGGAGCAGGCUCACUGGAAAUGUCUUAACCAGUUAGGCACCAAUGGCCUAAACCUACCCACAUCUGUGACGCCAACAGCCUGUGCUUAGGGUAGUGUACAUUUAUAUCUCCAAGAGUGGUGUGAAAGGUGGAAACGACAAAUUCCUCCUCCACUGGAGCCUGAACCCCUUCAUUCUAAGUGCUCUUCUAUGUAAACGGCACGAGGACAGUCUAAGCAACGGGCAGUACCAUGGUUACACAUGACAGACUCGAGUGGAGGACAGUGGCCGCGCCAGCCCUGCCUUUCACCUGUGGGCAGAUGGGGUGUCACAUCCUGGUCUAGCCCAGCGAGUUUCCUAUGUUUUCGAGUUCCCUUUUCUGUUUAUUAAGAUGGAGAAAUCCUAAAAUAAUCAGAAUAGCACUUACAAAAAAGUAGUUUCAUUCUUAGAGAAAGCUGGGCCUGACUAAUGUUCGAAUUGUGGCAAUCUGAAUGAUGUCAGAGACAGGAACUGCAUCCCCAAUGACCAGCACCAUUUCCAAGCCUGUUUCCUCCUCUGCAGAGCGGUGCUGGUAUAUAGCAGCUGGCUCCUAGGGCCACAGUGAGGAUUCACCUGGCGAAGCUGGGGGGUAGGGGGCAUUUAGCACCAUUCCUGGUGCAGGCUGAUUAAGUGCUGCCUUCCCUGUUCCUACUAGAAACUCCCAAGAGUGUCUGGAAUGCAUCUUACCCAGAAUACACCUCCCACAGCUUUUGGUUCGUCCGAUAAUCCCACACGGACACCAGGCCUUCCUCGCCUCCGCUGACGACCUUCCAGUCGUCCAUCUGCACGGCAGAGACCCCAAGCUGGUGGGCAGAGAGCGACAGGGCGACGUUACCGCUGCGGACGUCAUGGAUCCUCACCCUGGACAGGCCCAAGAAGAGCAGAGAAGGGAAAUGGGGUUAGAGUCAAAGAUUGAAAUGAACAAGCUCCCCCUUCACUGUGCUGGACUAUGCACGACACUGCUAUGAAAAACUCCUCAGCUGCAAACAGCGAUAAUAAGGACAUCAACCUUUUAUCUCCUCGUUAGAGACUGUCAGGGAGGACCCCCACCAUCUCAUCUGAAUGGUUUAAAAGCACAUGGAGCAAGAAAGACGCAGGCCAAGGACAGUGGCUGCCCACUUGACCUGCCUAACAGGGAAGAGCCACCUGCGUGACUGCACGCGCAGGAUGGCCUGAGAAGCCUGUCCCAGCAGUAGGUGUAUUGCCCAGAACGGUAAUUUUGCUGUUGGUAAAAUAACCUGUUAAGGUAGCAAGAGCUACAAAGCCAGACACCCCAGAUCCUCACCCGGUUAGGAAAAGAACACUUUUUGGGUAUUUCACUUGACUUUGUAAGUUCACUGCUGUCUUGUUGGAAGUGAGAGAGGGAAAGCCUUGAUAGUUGAUACGCACAGCAGAGCGGGGAUAAAGGUGUGUGUACCCUGGGCAGUCACUGAUUGAAAUGAUUACUUGCCUUAUAAUAAUCCACAUUUCUUUCAGAACCUCUUUAAAAACUGCUUUUUAUGUAUGUUGAAUUUUUCACGAGGAUAAGUUAGAUAAUGGGACAGAAAUCUCGUAUGCACUACAACCACCACCAUACUUAGUUUCUACAAUAAGCCACAAAGGCUAAAAGUAAAUCAAAUUGAUUACAUUUAAUAAAUGUAAAGAUGAGCUUCAGAGACCCUAUGAUGUAAGUUGAAAAGGAAAAGACAGUCCCUGCCCUGAAAAGACCCCAGCAUCUAGCAAGGAACAGGACAAAGACAAGGAUAUAUGAUUAAAAACGCAUGUCUGGCCCAAAAGCUGGGAGAGACAGGAUUCUCUGAAACACGUCCCGUGCCCUGACUCUAGUUAUGCGAGCAUGCGCACACACAACGUCGAUUUUCCAAGUUCUGAGGGAAAAUUAUUUUGAACCAACAAUUCUCUACCUAGCUUAGCACCCAAGUUUGAAGGCAUAAUAGACUUUUUUUUUCUUUAACAGAAAAGGACUCAAAGUGAACUACCUGUGGAUACUCUCUGAAAGAAAGUGGUAUAGCAAAAUACCGGAACAAGAAGACAGAUGGCUUAAGUGGGACCUGAUGUGUCUGCUGGAUCCAUGGAGGCACACAGGACAAACCUCCUAUUAACAAGAAGAGCUGCCAAUGGAUCACAAAGUAAAAAUAUAUGCUAUGCAUGAAAAACACAUCUGCAAA